rnacentral:lncRNA from 13 species
CCCCCCCCCCCCCCCCCCCCCCACACACACACACACACACACACUUUGUGUGACGGUUAGCACAUCCAUUUGUGCUCAGAAAAAUACCUAACUUUGCAAUAGGGCCUUUUUUUACAGUCUCCCACCUCUUCUGUGUAAAACAGCAGAGACCCAUGUUCUGUUAGCUGUGUUGCUUCAUCUUGUCUCAAUCCGUCCUUGCAGAAUGUGGCUCAAAUGUUUGCUUCAUCUAGGUUCAUUUAGUGCUAUGAGAGGUAACGAGAUACGUCGGUCUAACAUCAAUGUACAGUCCCUACAUCGGACAGCACAAAAAUAGAAACCUCAAUGUAAUCUAUGUGAGGGAGCUGCACGAUGUUGCCAGUAAGGACAAAUCUGAUACCACCGAGCAAUGACAUCACACAAGGGCCGUGGUUCGAUCCAGGCCAGGGGAGCAGGAGAGAGAGAGAGACUUCUCUGCUCUUCCUUCAGUUUUCUGAGGCCUGUGAACCUCCCAUCACAGUAGUUGGGAGAGAUUUCAAGUCUAGGAAAGAUCCCUUAUGCAGGCAAUUAAUCAGACACGCUUUCUGUUUUAGUAAGAAUGUACAAGUAUGUUUUGUAUGCAUGAUACGUGUUUGAUCAUAUGGGGGUCAGAUCAGGAGUUUCAUUUGUAUGUUUCUGUAAAGUCCUAUAUUAGUCAUGGUACACAGGUGGAUAUUUAUUUGAGUUAUUUUGUGGGUUACUUUAGGACACCAUGUACACUGCUUUAUGUUCCUCUCGGACCUCAGAUACCAAUAAGCCAUUGCAUUUUAAUCAAGCAUUUUCACCAGGGUGGAUCAAGAGGCCUUGCUCAAAGCAGAAACAUGCAAAUUGUGUUUUUGUUGAUGUCCACAAGGAUGUAUAAAGAUAUAUAUUUAGUCAUUUGGAAAAAUAUAAGUGAUUAUUAUGAGAUUUCUGAUAAUUAAAAAUGCUUACAACAACUCGUUUUACAAGUGAAGUGUACAUUUAUUUAUAAGCUGAUUUUCAAUUACAAUUAUUGUUAAAGGAAAUCUCUCUUAAUUUGAUCCUGUAGCCAAAUCUGUAUGUGGCCUUGGACCAGAAUAUCCUAACUAACCUCUGAAUAACAACCAAAGUGAAUUUUUAUUAGUUUAAAUGUUUGUGUUCUCUUGUUCCUUUGGUGAUCCAUUUUUGAAGUUCAAUACUUAUUGAAUGAACUUUCCUGGACUCGCCCCGCCCCACACAGUGCAAGAUCAGGUAAUUGAUUUGGGUCAUACUGCCAUCUUGUGGAUAUACAGUAUAAUUUUGCGUAUUGAUUAUUGACUGAAAUUCUCUUGUGGUGCACUAAAGAAACAUGAGCACUUCCUUUCUUCUAGAGAAAUAAGAUAAAGGAAGAGGGUGAGUGAAAAGCACAUGGAGCGCGUGAACACGAAGCAGAAAGAUCGGCUACUCCUGGACUAUACUAUAAUGCAGAAGACCGGAGAGUAUGAAGUUGAGUACUUGGUAGAGUCGUUGAUGAUGGCAUAUGCUCCUCAUGGGGCGACUAAGCAAUCUAUUCUACUCCCACUAAUUCAAGUAUUUCCAGUCUUAUUGCGCAGAUCCCCACCAUUCAGCUUUACUCCCUGUCUGUAACAUGAAUGAGAGACCAUGCUGUUACCCUAAAGACCAUGGGUAUGUUUUUGCUGAAAGCCAUAUAAGGCUCUGAUUUCCCUGACCUCUGUGUUGAAGAGUUCACAAACCCAUGCAUUAUCUCUGACUUAUUUGAAUAUACAGUGCCUUGCGAAAGUAUUCGGCCCCCUUGAACUUUGCGACCUUUUGCCACAUUUCAGGCUUCAAACAUAAAGAUAUAAAACUGUUUUUUUUUUGUGAAGAAUCAACAACAAGUGGGACACAAUCAUGAAGUGGAACGAAAUUUAUUGGAUAUUUCAAACUUUUUUAACAAAUCAAAAACUGAAAAAUUGGGUGUGCAAAAUUAUUCAGCCCCUUUACUUUCAGUGCAGCAAACUCUCUCCAGAAGUUCAGUGAGGAUCUCUGAAUGAUCCAAUGUUGACCUAAAUGACUAAUGAUGAUAAAUACAAUCCACCUGUGUGUAAUCAAGUCUCCGUAUAAAUGCACCUGCACUGUGAUAGUCUGAGGUCCGUUAAAGGCGCAGAGAGCAUCAUGAAGAACAAGGAACACACCAGGCAGGUCCGAGAUACUGUUGUGAAGAAGUUUAAAGCCGGAUUUGGAUACAAAAAGAUUUCCCAAGCUUUAAACAUCCCAAGGAGCACUGUGCAAGCGAUAAUAUUGACAUGGAAGGAGUAUCAGACCACUGCAAAUCUACCAAGACCUGGCAGUCCCUCUAAACUUUCAGCUCAUACAAGGAGAAGACUGAUCAGAGAUGCAGCCAUGAUCACUCUGGAUGAACUGUAGAGAUCUACAGCUGAGGUGGGAGACUCUGUCCAUAGGACAACAAUCAGUCGUAUAUUGCACAAAUCUGGCCUUUAUGGAAGAGUGGCAAGAAGAAAGCCAUUUCUUAAAGAUAUCCAUAAAAAGUGUCGUUUAAAGUUUGCCACAAGCC